GGCGCGGUGGCCUAAUGGUUAGCGCAAUGGACUCUGGUUUGAGUGGUCCAGAUUCAAGCACUGGCCGGGUCG
rnacentral:tRNA from 1 species